rnacentral:rRNA from 1 species
AUUGAACGCUGGCGGCAUGCUUUACACAUGCAAGUCGAACGGUAACAGGCCUUCGGGUGCUGACGAGUGGCGAACGGGUGAGUAAUGCAUCGGAACGUACCCAGAGGUGGGGGAUAACGCAGCGAAAGCUGUUCUAAUACCGCAUGUGAUCUGAGGAUGAAAGCGGGGGACCGAGCAGCAAUGUUUGGCCUCGCGCCUUUUGAGCGGCCGAUGUCGGAUUAGCUAGUUGGUGGGGUAAAGGCCUACCAAGGCGACGAUCCGUAGCUGGUCUGAGAGGACGACCAGCCACACUGGGACUGAGACACGGCCCAGACUCCUACGGGAGGCAGCAGUGGGGAAUUUUGGACAAUGGGCGCAAGCCUGAUCCAGCAAUGCCGCGUGCGGGAAGAAGGCCUUCGGGUUGUAAACCGCUUUUGGCAGGAACGAAACGGUGUCCGCUAAUACCGGGCGCUAAUGACGGUACCUGCAGAAUAAGCACCGGCUAACUACGUG